UACAGAGGUCUCAAGCGUUGUUCGGAUUCAUUGGGUUUAAAGGGUCCGUAGGCGGAUCUGUAAGUCAGUGGUGAAAUCUCACAGCUUAACUGUGAAACUGCCAUUGAUACUGCAGGUCUUGAGUGUUAUUGAAGUAGCUGGAAUAAGUAGUGUAGCGGUGAAAUGCAUAGAUAUUACUUAGAACACCAAUUGCGAAGGCAGGUUACUAAGCAACAACUGACGCUGAUGGACGAAAGCGUGGGGAGCGAACAGG
rnacentral:rRNA from 1 species